GGGAAAGUGGCUCAGUGGUAGAGUGCUUGCCUUGCAUGCAUCAGGCCAUGGGUUCGAUUCCCCAGUACCA
rnacentral:tRNA from 1 species